rfam:Gossypium hirsutum cultivar TM-1 chromosome 23, whole genome shotgun sequence
AACCCAUGGUGAGGACACCUUCUGAGUAAGUCCUUGUAUCUCUCCCAUGUAUCGUAAAGUUUUUCUAAAUCCAUCUGCACAAAAGAAGAGAUAGCAUUACACAAUUU